GCCAUACCUCAGUGGUAGCGCAUUUGCUUUGCAUGUCAAAGAGAACCCUUAUCUGAAAUCCUAGAGAGCUGCUGCCAGCCCGUGUAGACAAAAUUCAGCUAGGUGGACCAGUGGGUUGACUCAGUAUAACGCUGCUCCCUGCGUUUCUAACAGGUAGGAGGCAAGCAGGAUUUGGGAAGCAUCACAGCUCAAGUAACAGAACAUGCAGAAGGGUCCUGGGUUCAAUUUCCCAGUAUCUCCA